rnacentral:lncRNA from 1 species
AUCGAUAAGUAAUUUUUAAUCCAAUGUAAAUUUAACAGAGUUUGCAAAUAAGAGUAGAUUUGAAAAAAUCUAUAUAUUUAGACGGAUAAUUAGAGUAGAACUACUAUGCUAUUACAAGUAUAGAGAAUUUACUGUUUCUGACUUUUUGACCCUUAGAUUAGCUACUUUAAUUAUUUCUAAUUUUUGGAUUAAUACUAUUACCCUGUGGGGACCGCUCAAUUCUCAGGGUACUACUCAAUUUUGGGAGAGACUGUAAUUAUUUUAACCGUAUAAUUCUUGAUCUAAGGGUCAAAAAAUCGAAAGUAUCAAAUUCUCUAUACUUCCGAUAGUAUAGUGACUCUGCACCGGAUAAUUAUAAUAUUAUUGAUUUUUUGAGGGUAUUUAUGGUAUUAUCAAUCUUUUGAAGGGUGUAGUGAAAUUAACCCUAUAAAAAAAAAUAAAAAU